ensembl:miRNA mirlet7a-4 microRNA let-7a-4
UUCCAGUGUUCCGCAGGUUGAGGUAGUAGGUUGUAUAGUUCAGAGUGACACCACAGGAGAUAACUGUACAGCCUCCUAGCUUUCCCUGAGGAAACACAA